rnacentral:rRNA from 1 species
GCCUACGGGGGGCAGCAGUGAGGAAUAUUGGUCAAUGGCCGCAGGGCUGAACCAGCCAAGUCGCGUGAGGGAUGACGGUCCUAUGGAUUGUAAACCUCUUUUGUCAGGGAGCAAAGGGCGCCACGUGUGGCGCUUUGCGAGUACCUGAAGAAAAAGCAUCGGCUAACUCCGUGCCAGCAGCCGCGGUAAUACGGAGGAUGCGAGCGUUAUCCGGAUUUACUGGGUGUAAAGGGAGCGUAGACGGCAGCGCAAGUCUGGAGUGAAAUGCCGGGGCCCAACCCCGGAACUGCUUUGGAAACUGUGCG